UACAGAGGUCUCAAGCGUUGUUCGGAUUCAUUGGGCGUAAAGGGUGCGUAGGUGGCGGGGUAAGUCAGGUGUGAAAUCUCGGGGCUCAACCCCGAAACUGCACUUGAUACUGCCUUGCUCGAGUACUGGAGAGGAGAUUGGAAUUUACGGUGUGGCAGUGAAAUGCGUAGAUAUCGUAAGGAAGACCAGUGGCGAAGGCGAAUCUCUGGACAGUUACUGACACUGAGGCACGAAGGCCAGGGGAGCAAACGGG
rnacentral:rRNA from 1 species